CUUUGUGCUGAGCACGCUCGCCCCCCGGAGUUUCACUAGAAAGAAGGUCGCCAUCGGCCAAGGGAACAGCUUGUACCUCAAGUGCACGCGGAUGCCCCAGAAUCCCAGGAUCUCAGCCGAGCUGUUUGUGGAUUAUUAGAUCUGACUUAAAAGGAGAAGGGAGCGUUGGCUUUGCUUUCAUCAGGCCAAAGAUGCCUUUCUUUGGGAAUACGUUCAGUCCGAAGAAGACACCUCCUCGGAAGUCGGCAUCUCUCUCCAACCUGCAUUCUUUGGAUCGGUCAGCCCAGGAGGUGGAGCUGGGCUUGGAAUAUGGAUCCCCCACUAUGAACCUGGCAGGGCAAAGCCUGAAGUUUGAAAAUGGCCAGUGGAUAGCAGAGACAGGGGUUAGUGGCGGUGUGGACCGGAGGGAGGUUCAGCGCCUUCGCAGGCGGAACCAGCAGUUGGAGGAAGAGAACAAUCUCUAGCGGCUGAAAGUGGACAUCCUGUUAGACAUGCUUUCGGAGUCCACUGCCGAAUCCCACUUAAUGGAGAAGGAACUGGAUGAACUGAGGAUUAGCCGGAAGAGAAAAUGAACACCCCAGAGACAUUUAUUGGGGAGUAGGAUGUAGCUAAGUGCUUUUUUUUUUUUUUUUGCCCAGACUAGUGGAUUCAGUCCUGGGAGAGAGUAUCAUAUAAUGGGACCCACAGGCACUGGCACCCUUGGGUUGGCAAUAGAAGGUGACAUGGAAUGGAGAAAACCAAGAUUCCAGAUGGGGACAGUAACUAGAAGGUGCUUCAGAUGCACUGCCUGUGGAUGCCAGUCUGAAAACCAGACUGCAUGGAGGCCUGAGGCUGCUGAUGAGCCUUUGGGUGCUCUCCACACACAAGAUUGCAAACGUACAUGUCCCAGAAUAGCUCUGUUGGGCCCUGUUGGGAGAAGUGGCUGGAGUUCAUUCUCUCACCCCCUUACAUUGGGGUUUGGGGUUUGGCAGCAGUUCUGCAGAGCUCCGUGUUGGGGGUCAUGGAUGAGUGGCUCUCUCGGCUCUUAAAGGCAGGCCUCUCUCCUUGCCUUUAAAGAAUCCUCCUUCCUCACACCUGGCCUCCUCUGGCUUCAGCUUCUCAGCAGCAAGCACCAGCCUUCCACAGCAACACUAUAUUUUUAUGCUACUUUCCUGUUUGCACUACUAUUUUUAUUAAAUGAUGUUAAAUAAAAAAAAAAA